rnacentral:rRNA from 1 species
GACGAACGCUGGCGGCGUGCUUAACACAUGCAAGUCGAACGGAAAGGCCCUGCUUUUGUGGGGUGCUCGAGUGGCGAACGGGUGAGUAACACGUGAGUAACCUGCCCUUGACUUUGGGAUAACUUCAGGAAACUGGGGCUAAUAUCGGAUAGGAGCUCCUGCUGCAUGGUGGGGGUUGGAAAGUUUCGGCGGUUGGGAAUGGACUCGCGGCUUAUCAGCUUGUUGGUGGGGUAGUGGCUUACCAAGGCUUUGACGGGUAGCCGGCCUGAGAGGGUGACCGGCCACAUUGGGACUGAGAUACGGCCCAGACUCCUACGGGAGGCAGCAGUGGGGAAUAUUGCACAAUGGGCGGAAGCCUGAUGCAGCAACGCCGCGUGCGGGAUGACGGCCUUCGGGUUGUAAACCGCUUUCGCCUGUGACGAAGCGUGAGUGACGGUAAUGGGUAAAGAAGCACCGGCUAACUACGUG